rnacentral:rRNA from 1 species
GACGAACGCUGGCGGCGUGCUUAACACAUGCAAGUCGAACGAAGUGGCGAACGGGUGAGUAACGCGUAAUCAACCUGCCCUUCAGAGGGGGACAACAGUUGAAAACGACUGCUAAUACCGCAUACUGAAGGAGGGGAUUGCGUUUGAUUAGCUAGUUGGCGGGGUAACGGCCCACCAAGGCGAUGAUGAGUAGCCGGUCUGAGAGGGUUAACGGCCAAAUUGGGACUGAGACAAGGCCCAGACUCCUUCGGGGGGCAGCAGUUGGGGAUCUUUCGCAAUGGACGAAAGGCUGACGGAGCAACGCCGCGGGAGAGAUGGCGGGCUUCGGGUUGGAAAGCUCUUUUAAUCGGGGCGCGUUACCGGAAUAGAAAGCCACGGCUAACUACGUGCCAGCAGCCGCGGUAAUUC